CCUACGGGGGGCUGCAGUAGGGAAUCUUCCACAAUGGGCGAAAGCCUGAUGGAGCAACGCCGCGUGGGUGAAGAAGGUCUUCGGAUCGUAAAACCCUGUUGUUAGAGAAGAAAGUGCGUGAGAGUAACUGUUCACGUUUCGACGGUAUCUAACCAGAAAGCCACGGCUAACUACGUGCCAGCAGCCGCGGUAAUACGUAGGUGGCAAGCGUUAUCCGGAGUUAUUGGGCGUAAAGGGAACGCAGGCGGUCUUUUAAGUCUGAUGUGAAAGCCUUCGGCUUAACCGGAGUAGUGCAUUGGAAACUGGGAGACGUGAGUGCAGAAGAGGAGAGUGGAACUCCAUGUGUAGCGGUGAAAUGCGUAGAUAUAUGGAAGAACACCAGAGGCGAAAGCGGCUCUCUGGUCUGUAACUGACGCUGAGGUUCGAAAGCGUGGGUAGCAAACAGGAUUAGAUACCCUUGUAGUC
rnacentral:rRNA from 1 species